UUGUCCCUUUACUUGCUCCAUUGUGCCCGUUCGGCGGUGUUAUUUGUUAAACUAAUUAAUAAUUUAAAAUGCUAAUCGAGUUUUUCGUGUGCUAAACAAUCUUUAAAUUACAUUAGGCUUGUUGAAGAAUGCACUCAGUUGGAAUGAUGCGUUUGUGAAUAAGUGUAAAGUGAAUGCAUUUGCCAAAAAGAAAAUAACGACGAAAAGAAAGUUAAUAAAGUGUAAAAGCCAAGUAGCUUCAUAGAUGAAGAAAGAAAACGGAGGCAGCAGCAAAGUUAGUAGUGAGUGAGAAAGCCAUGUCGGUCUAUUAGUUAUUCGCUCGCAGUUCCGUUGCUUUUUCGGCUCGGUUUGAACGAGGCGAAGAAGAUCAGUGCAUUUGUGGCUAAAAUGUGUGUGUGCAUUGAUUCCAUGUGAAAAUAAAAUUCAUCGUAAAUGGAAAUACCAGUGUAAACAAGUGAACGACAGCAAAGCGAAACAAACUCGAAAUGAAAUAAUGAAAAUUAGUAGGGCUGAUUACGAGUAUUAACUGUUGGAAAAAAAAACAAAAGCUGUGUUGUAAGGAUAACACUUCAAAACACGCCGAAUAACACUUACAAACUCACCAUUCAAGCUAAGAUGUGAUAAUAAAUACUCAACACAGCCAGCCCCUCCAUAUCGAACUUCGAUACUAUUCGCUCAC